rnacentral:rRNA from 1 species
UACGUAGGGGGCAAGCGUUGUCCGGAUUUAUUGGGCGUAAAGAGCGUGUAGGCGGCUAGGUAGGUCCGUUGUGAAAACUCGAGGCUCAACCUCGAGACGUCGAUGGAAACCAUCUAGCUAGAGUCCGGAAGAGGAGAGUGGAAUUCCUGGUGUAGCGGUGAAAUGCGCAGAUAUCAGGAGGAACACCCGUGGCGAAGGCGGCUCUCUGGUACGUGACUGACGCUGAGACGCGAAAGCGUGGGGAGCGAACAGG